rnacentral:rRNA from 1 species
UAACACAUGCAAGUCGAGGGGCAGCAUGGUCUUAGCUUGCUAAGGCCGAUGGCGACCGGCGCACGGGUGAGUAACACGUAUCCAACCUGCCGUCUACUCUUGGACAGCCUUCUGAAAGGAAGAUUAAUACAAGAUGGCAUCAUGAGUCCGCAUGUUCACAUGAUUAAAGGUAUUCCGGUAGACGAUGGGGAUGCGUUCCAUUAGAUAGUAGGCGGGGUAACGGCCCACCUAGUCUUCGAUGGAUAGGGGUUCUGAGAGGAAGGUCCCCCACAUUGGAACUGAGACACGGUCCAAACUCCUACGGGAGGCAGCAGUGAGGAAUAUUGGUCAAUGGGCGAGAGCCUGAACCAGCCAAGUAGCGUGAAGGAUGACUGCCCUAUGGGUUGUAAACUUCUUUUAUAAAGGAAUAAAGUCGGGUAUGGAUACCCGUUUGCAUGUACUUUAUGAAUAAGGAUCGGCUAACUCCGUGCCAGCAGCCGCGGUAAUACGGAGGAUCCGAGCGUUAUCCGGAUUUAUUGGGUUUAAAGGGAGCGUAGAUGGAUGUUUAAGUCAGUUGUGAAAGUUUGCGGCUCAACCGUAAAAUUGCAGUUGAUACUGGAUAUCUUGAGUGCAGUUGAGGCAGGCGGAAUUCGUGGUGUAGCGGUGAAAUGCUUAGAUAUCACGAAGAACUCCGAUUGCGAAGGCAGCCUGCUAAGCU